rnacentral:rRNA from 1 species
UACGGAGGGUGCAAGCGUUAUCCGGAUUCACUGGGUUUAAAGGGUGCGUAGGUGGGUUGGUAAGUCAGUGGUGAAAUCUUCGUGCUUAACAUGGAAACUGCCAUUGAUACUACUAGUCUUGAAUCUUCCGGAGGUCAGCGGAAUAUGUCAUGUAGCGGUGAAAUGCUUAGAUAUGACAUAGAACACCAAUUGCGAAGGCAGCUGACUACAGGGGCAUUGACACUGAGGCACGAAAGCGUGGGGAUCAAACAGG